CACGUAGGGUGCGAGCGUUGUCCGGAAUUAUUGGGCGUACAGAGCUCGUAGGCGGUGUGUCGCGUCGGCCGUGAAAACCUGCAGCUUAACUGUGGGCUUGCGGUCGAUACGGGCAUCACUGGAGUUCGGCAGGGGAGACUGGAAUUCCUGGUGUAGCGGUGAAAUGCGCAGAUAUCAGGAGGAACACCGGUGGCGAAGGCGGGUCUCUGGGCCGAAAUUGACGCUGAGGAGCGAAAGCGUGGGGAGCAAACAGG
rnacentral:rRNA from 1 species